AACAUCCCAACAAAUGGUUGUGGUGCUCAAAUCCUUUAUGCAAAUCAAAAACGCGUGCUGCAGAGAAGUGAUGUGAGAUAUCAGCUCCUGGGGGCACUGCAGAAGGGAGAUGCGUCUCUGACUAUCUUCAAUGUGAGAAAAAGUGAUGCAGGAAAGUAUGGCUGCCGAGUCCAAGUGCCCGGAUGGUUCAACGAUAAAAAAUUCAGCAUCAACUUAGUCAUUAGGGAAGCACCACGACGGACCACCACCACUCCGGGAUAUGUAACAACUACAACACAGAUCCCUACCAAAGCACCUGUUUCAACAACACAACAUGAGACAACCUCCGUCACCGAAGAUGUGACCACGAAGCAUCCAGAAACAGAACAGACUUAUACCACUCCGGGAUAUGUAACAACUACAACACAGAUCCCUAGCAAAGG